AUUGAACGCUGGCGGCAGGUUAAACACAUGCAAGUCGAGCGGAGCGGCGGACGGGUGCGUAAUGCCUAGGAAUCUGCCUGGUAGCGGGGGCUAACGUCCGGAAACGGGCGCUAAUACCGCAUUCUAUCAGAUCAGCCUAGGCCGGAUUAGCUCGUUGGUGGGGUAAAGGCAUACCAAGGCGACGAUCCGUAACUGGUCUGAGAUGAUGAUCAUCCACACUGGAACUGAGACACGGUCGAGACUCCUACGGGAGGCAGAGGUGGGGAAUAUUGGACAAUGGGCGAAAGCCUGAUCCAGCCAUGCCGCGUGUGUGAAGAAGGUCUUCGGAUUGUAAAGCACUUUAAGUUGGGAGGCGUUACCAACAGAAUAAGCACCGGCUAACUUCGUGCCAGCAGCCGCGGUAAUAC
rnacentral:rRNA from 1 species